rnacentral:sRNA from 1 species
CGGAAGUGCCCUCGCCUGUCGGAUGGAUGGUGGCCUCAGCAACCCCAUCGUCCCAGGUCAGAGGGCACUUUCUCGUUCACCACGCCGAUCACCGGGCAAAUCGGACGGUGCAUCCAG